rnacentral:rRNA from 1 species
UACAGAGGUCACAAGCGUUAUCCGGAUUUAUUGGGCGUAAAGCGUUUCGUAGGCUGAUUUGUAAGUUAUUUUUCAAAGACCACGGCUCAACCGGGGGAAGGGAGGUAAUACUGCAAGUCUUUAGAAAUAUGGUGGGGCUUCUGGAACUGAUAGUGUAGCAGUGAAAUGCGUUGAUAUUAUCAGGAACUCCAAGGGCGAAGGCAGGAGCUA